CAAGUGAGUGGCGAACGGGUGAGUAACACGUGGACAACCUGCCUCAAGGCUGGGGAUAACAUUUGGAAACAGAUGCUAAUACCGAAUAAAACUUAGUGUCGCAUGACAAAAAGUUAAAAGGCGCUUCGGCGUCACCUAGAGAUGGAUCCGCGGUGCAUUAGUUAGUUGGUGGGGUAAAGGCCUACCAAGACAAUGAUGCAUAGCCGAGUUGAGAGACUGAUCGGCCACAUUGGGACUGAGACACGGCCCAAACUCCUACGGGAGGCUGCAGUAGGGAAUCUUCCACAAUGGGCGAAAGCCUGAUGGAGCAACGCCGCGUGUGUGAUGAAGGCUUUCGGGUCGUAAAGCACUGUUGUAUGGGAAGAACAGCUAGAAUAGGAAAUGAUUUUAGUUUGACGGUACCAUACCAGAAAGGGACGGCUAAAUACGUGCCAGCAGCCGCGGUAAUACGUAUGUCCCGAGCGUUAUCCGGAUUUAUUGGGCGUAAAGCGAGCGCAGACGGUUUAUUAAGUCUGAUGUGAAAGCCCGGAGCUCAACUCCGGAAUGGCAUUGGAAACUGGUUAACUUGAGUGCAGUAGAGGUAAGUGGAACUCCAUGUGUAGCGGUGGAAUGCGUAGAUAUAUGGAAGAACACCAGUGGCGAA
rnacentral:rRNA from 1 species